UUUUUGAAGCUGCUGCCACCGAUCUAGAUGAGCUUACAGAGACUGUAACAUCAUAUAUCAGUUUCUGUGAGGAUAUGUGUAUUCCUACCAGGACUCAUCUAACUUACAACAAUGACAAACCGUGGUUCACUGCAAAACUCAGACAGCUCUGUCAGGCCAAAGAAGAUGCUUACAGGAAGGGGGACAAUGUCUUGUAUAAACAGGCUAAAUACACACUGGAAAAGGAGAUCAAAGUGGCAAAGAAGAAGUAUUCUGAAAAAAUAAGGACUCAGUUCACUUCCAACAACUCAGCUUCAGUGUGGAAAAGUCUGAAGGAGAUCACUUACUACAAGACACCAGCCCCCAGCACUGUGGAGAAUCUGAACAAGUUUUACUGCAGGUUUCAAAGAACCCCCAUCACCUGCCCUGAACGCCUCUCCGCACAACCGUUCACACCAUUCACACCCCUUGCAACCCGCCCUGAACACCUCUCCAAACAACCGCUCACACCAUUCACAACCCUUGCAACCCGCCCUGAACGCCUCUCCAAACAACCGUUCACACAAGUCACAACUCCUGCAACCCGUCCUGAACACCUCUCCAACCAACCCCUCACACCACUCACACCUCCUGCAAACCCCCUCUCCCCCACACCUGCAAUUCAGAUCAGCAAGGAUGAGGUGCGCCAGGUCAUCCGGAAGCAGAAAAGGAAUAAAGCACCAGGCCCAGAUUGUGUUACACCAGUCUGUCUGAAAUCCUGUGCUGACCAGCUGGCCCCCAUCUUCACACAGAUCUUCAACAGAUCACUGGAGCUGUGUGAAGUCCAUUCAUGCUUCAAAUGCUCCACCAUCAUCCCCAUCCCAAAGAAAUCCAAAAUUACAGGACUAAAUGACUACAGGCUUGUGGUCCUAACGUCUGUGGUCAUGAAGUCAUUUGAAAAACUGGUGCUGGCCAACCUGAAGGACAUUACUGGACUCUUGCUGGAUCCUCUUCAGCUUGCCUACAGAGCAAACAGGUCUGUGGACAAUGCAGUAAACAUGGGACUGCAUUAUGUUCUGCAACAUCUGGACUGACCAGGGACUUACGUGAGGAUCCUGUUUGUGGACUUCAGUUUGGCCUUUAACACUAUCAUUCCAAAC
ensembl:lncRNA